rnacentral:tRNA from 1 species
ACCUAGCUAGCUCAGUCAGUAGAGCGUGUGACUCUUGAUGUUGGGGUUGUGGGUUCAAGCCCCAUGUUGCGUA